rnacentral:lncRNA from 1 species
CGACAGCACGUCUCUCCAUGUAACUAAAUAUGGUGCUCUGAUUUAGUUACAGAUAAUAACAGCUCCUUGUUGCACACCAGUGCAUCAGGGCUGGCACUACGCACUCUACAUGUGUCAUCGCUGAUCCUCAUAAGAGCCCGUUUUACAGAUGGGGGCGCCAAGUUCAUCAUUUUCAAGGUUUGUACGUCCAGGUGUCAUAGUGAAAAGUUCGUCAGUCAUCAGCACACAAGGUACGCGGAAUGCCCAGGCGGUGUCCAGCUUGAGAAGGCUGUGCGUCAACACCUGACGGAUGUAGGUGCCUGUGCAUCCUCAGACAUUCUGCUGAGCAGGCAAACGAAGAACAUACCUGGAAAAGAUAUUUCCAUAUGGCCGCUGUGUAGCAGUUGAAUUGGCUUGACUCAUAAAUUCUUUAAAUAGCAAGUGGCAAUAACCCAGAUGACCUUUUAAUGUUCCAUUAAUUCUUCCAUCCGUUCAUUGUUCUGAGAUUUAUAACAAUGGAACUCCUGAGUGCCUAGCACAUGACAUAAUGGAAGGAAGAGAACCCCGCAACUUUGAAAGCUGGGGAUUAAGUUCAGGUUUUGGAAUGCUGAAUGAAAUGAAAGCUGGUUCAAACUUGCUGAAAGGAAUGCUGGAACGUCUAUGGACUCAGGAACCCCCGAGGUGCCUCCAAGCGGCUUCUCUUACCCCCAUCCUCAGAUUUGCAAUGCUGGGAUCCAAGUCACCUUCAAGACCACUUCAUUCAUCUUGACCAAGCCCUUAAAUGUUUGAGAAGUCUGCAUCAAAUAAUGUCUGAUGAAAGCUGAACACUCUUCCCAGUGCUACGUCCGUGGUCUGGCUCGUGUGACCCACGUGAUAGACACACCUGAGGAAAUGCAUGUCCUGUGAUUGUCGGGUGGCACCGGUUUGGUUCCUGAUGUUUCCAGAGAUAAAACAAUAUCCUCAAGGAGAAACAGGACGGGGCUUUUGUUCCCAUUUAGGCCAUGAUUAUUUUCUAUUAGGAGCUGGACAGUUUCAUAAACAGAGGGACUUAUCGACACAGCUCCCGCCAAAGCCCUCAACUGUGCUUCUAACCACG